AUACGGAGGGUGCAAGCGUUAUCCGGAUUUAUUGGGUUUAAAGGGUGCGCAGGCGGACCUGUCAGUCAGUGGUGAAAUCCCGGGGCUCAACCCCGGAACUGCCAUUGAUACUACAGGUCUUGAAUACGGUUGAAGUAGGCGGAAUGUAGCAUGUAGCGGUGAAAUGCAUAGAUAUGCUACAGAACACCGAUCGCGAAGGCAGCUUACUAAGCCGAUAUUGACGCUCAGGCACGAAAGCGUGGGGAGCGAACAGGAUUAGAAACCCCGGUAGUCC
rnacentral:rRNA from 1 species